rnacentral:lncRNA from 1 species
AAUUCAACUCGACUUAAACUCAAAAAACCGAAUUACUUAUUCAAGUUGAUUUGAAAAAAAAUGAAUAACUCUAUUCAAUUAACUCAAAAUUCAAAAAAAGAAAAAAAAAGAAAAUCAAAUUUUUUGAAUCGAAUCAAGUUUUGUUCACUGUUAGUUUGAACCUUGAAUAUGACAUUGUUGGGAGGUACAGUCAUGGUCCCGAACAUGGACCAUAAAACGAACAUGUAAAAUACAAAAAAAAAAGUGAUGUGAUGCCCUUUAUCUUUCUAAACAAUAUUUUGUUUUUGAUUUUAUUUAUUCUCAACCAUAAUAAAAUUUUAUUAAACCUAAGCAAUUUAACUAACCAAUAGUAGAAAUGCUAAAACAAGCACAUCUAACAAACUAUAAAAUACCUCAAUUCAAAAGACACACACCUAAGCAAGC